rnacentral:rRNA from 1 species
AUGGAGGCGGCUCUGGUGAGUGCGGCGACGGGUGCCUUGAAGCCUGUCCUCCGGAAGCUGGCCACCCUUUUGGGUGACAAGUACAAGCAUUUCAAAGGCGUGCGUGGCGAAAUCAAAUCGCUCAGCAGCGAACUCGCUGCCAUGGAGGCGUUUCUUCUCAAGAUGUCAGAGGAGGAAGAUCCUGACGUUCAGGAUAAGGUAUGGAUGAAUGAGGUCCGGGAGCUCUCCUAUGACAUGGAGGACUCCAUCGAUGACUUCAUGCAAAGUGUGGGCAGCGAAGAUUCAAAGCCAGAUGGUUUCUUGGAAAAGAUGAAGAGCUCGUUGGGGAAGAUGAAGGCUCGUCACCGGAUCGGCAAUGAGAUCCAAGAUUUGAAGAAACAGAUCGUAGAGGUGGCGGAGAGGAAUGAAAGGUACAAGGCCCGUGACGGAAAGGUACAAGGCUCUAGGAAUGAAAGGUACCAGGCCAAGAAUUCAACCAUUGAUCCUAGAGCUCUUGUUAUCUUUCAGCAUGCCUCCGAGCUUGUCGGAAUUGAUAAACCCAAGGCUGAGGUAAUUAAACUGUUGACUAACGGUGGGUCAACACAAGAGCAACCGAAGCUGGUCUCUAUCGUAGGAUCCGGUGGGAUGGGCAAAACAACUCUUGCAUAUCAAGUGUAUAAAGACCUCAAAGGAGAGUUCAAAUGUCGGGCCUUCUUAUCCGUGUCGAGAAAUCCGGACAUGAUGAAUAUUAUGAGAACUAUUUUUAGUGAAGUUAGUGGGAAAGAUUAUGCUAACACUGAAUCAGGGAGUAUACAACAACUCAUUAGCAAGAUCGCCGAUUUCUUGGAAGACAAAAGGUAUUUUGUUGUUCUUGACGAUAUAUGGGACGUAGAUACAUGGCAUGUUCUUAAGCUUGCACUUCCUGUGACUAGUUCUGGCAGUAUCAUAAUCACCACUACUCGUAUAAAUGAUGUAGCCGAAUCAUGCCGUUCAACACCAUUCAAUGGAGAUAUUUAUUGCAUAAGGCCUCUUGAUAUGGUGCACUCUAGGCAGUUAUUUUACGCAAGAUUAUUCAACUCCAAAGAAAAGUGCCCAUCGUACCUUAAAAAGGUUUCCGAACAUAUUUUGAAAAAAUGUGCUGGGUUGCCUUUGGCAAUCAUUGCUAUAUCUGGUUUGUUGGCUAAUACUGAAAGGACAGAGGGUCCAUGGAAACAAGUUGAAGAUUCGAUUGGUCGAGCACUUGAAAGAAAUCCCAGUGUUGAAGGAAUGAUGAAGAUAUUGUCACUUAGUUACUUUGAACUGCCUGCUCAUCUGAAAUCUUGUCUCUUAUGUUUGAGUGUAUUCCCUGAAGACUCUAUUAUUAAGAAGAACAUUGUGAUACGUAGGUGGAUUGCUGAAAGGUUAAUUCAUACAGAAGCCGGAUAUAGCACAACAUAUGAAUUUGGAGAAAGGUGUUUUAAUGAGCUCAUCAACAGGAGUUUGAUCCAACCAGCGAAGAUGGACAUAUUUGAUAGGGUCAAUAGUUGCCGACUUCAUGACACAAUUCUUGAUUUCAUCAUAUCCAAAACUAUAGAAGAAAACUUUGUUACUUUGGUAGGUGUUCCUAGUUUAACUGUUGGAACACAAAGCAAAGUUCGUCGGAUCUCCCUGCAAGCCGGCAAGCAACAAGAACUGAUAGUGCCAAGAGGCUUUGUGUUGUCUCAUGUCCGAUCACUUGAUGUGUUCGGGACAUCGGUGAAAAUCCCUUCAAUGGAUAAGUUCAUGCAUUUGCGUUUUCUUGACUUUAGAGGAUGCAAACAGCUGGAGAACCACCAUAUUGAAAAUAUAGGGAUGUUGUUUUUGCUGAGGUACCUGAGCCUCCAUGGAGCGAAGAAAGUAAAUAAGCUCCCAGAACAAAUCGGACAUCUAUGGUGCUUAGAGGUAUUGGACUUAAGAGACACCUCUGUUUAUGAGUUACCAGCAUCUAUUGCUAAUCUCAAGAGAUUGGUGCACCUAUUUAUCACGAACAUUGUUACACUUCCUUAUGGAAUUUCUAAGUUGCAAGCACUGGAAAAAUUGAAGUAUGUCGGCGUGUGUAGGCAGUCAUUCCUACAAGAACUUGUGCAGCUGCAGAGUCUGAAGGUAUUGCAACUUGAUUUUAAAGAACCUGUUUCUACUGACCAAUUGAACACUGAAAGAAAGAAAGCUAUUAUUGGUGCUUCCCUUAAAAAACUAGGGAACCUUCUGUCUCUAACUGUUUGCUAUGGCCCUGAAUUAGUAGAGAAAUCUCUGUGCCCUAUGCCACUUAGCCUCCAGAAGCUUAUACUUUGGUCUUCGAUUAUUCCCCAUGUUCCAAAGUGGAUGGGCUCCCUUAUCAACCUCCAGGAAUUACGCCUUGAAUUGGCCGGAGCUGAGCAGGAAGAUUUCUAUAUCCUUGGAGGCUUACCUGUUCUGCGUUAUCUGGUUCUGGAAAUUGAUGAUCGUGAAAUUAGAAAUAGUACUCCUUUAAUAAUAAUCUGUGGUGAAGUUGGAUUCCCAUACUUGAGGAAAUUUCGUUAUUAUAGUCCGUUUGCUGGGAUGAAUCUGACGUUUGCGGAUGGAGCCAUGCCUAAGGUAGAUGAACUCUUAAUAGAAUUUAACGCAGCAAAAACUCGGAAUUGGGGUGGAUCUUUUUUGAUCAGUAGUACUAGUGGUUUUGAUCUCGGAAUAAAAAAGCUCCCCUGCCUCGUCAAAAUCAGAUGUGUACUACGCGGAUACGAUAUUAGCAGAGUUGAGGCUGCAAAGGCUGCCAUUCGGGAAGAAGCCAACGCACAUCCCAACCGCCCUAGUUUAUCGUUCGGCUGA